UACAUGGGGUGCAAACGUUGCUCGGAAUUAUUGGGCGUAAAGCGCGCGUAGGCGGUUACUCAAGUCGGAUGUGAAAGCCCUCGGCUUAACUGAGGAAGUGCACCCGAAACUGAGUAGCUAGAGUACCAAAGAGGGUCGCGGAAUUCCCGGUGUAGAGGUGAAAUUCGUAGAUAUCGGGAGGAACACCGGUGGCGAAGGCGGCGACCUGGGUAGAUACUGACGCUGAGGUGCGAAAGCGUGGGGAGCGAACAGG
rnacentral:rRNA from 1 species